rnacentral:tRNA from 4 species
CAGAUAGCUCAGUUGGUAGAGCAGCGGAUUGAAAAUCCGCGUGUCGCUGGUUCGAUUCCGGCUCUGGG